UACGUAGGGUGCAAGCGUUGUCCGGAAUUAUUGGGCGUAAAGAGCUCGUAGGCGGUUUGUUGCGUCGGCUGUGAAAUCCCGAGGCUCAACCUCGGGUCUGCAGUCGAUACGAGCAAACUAGAGUGUUGCAGGGGAGACUGGAAUUCCUGGGUGAUAGCGGUGAAAUGCGCAGAGUAUCAGGGAGGAACACCGGUGGGCGAAGGCGGGUCUCUGGGCAACAACUGACGCUGGAGGAAGCGAAAUGCGUCGGGGGAGCGAACAGGA
rnacentral:rRNA from 1 species